AACACUCUUGACUCUGCUUGGGAUUUCCCAGUGAUAAUUGUAUCGAGUGAUGAAAGAGCUGACGGCGACAUUUUAAUGUAUGAUUGGCUUGCUUGGACCAUUGGAAUGAAGUCAUUUUAUGGUGCCACCACUUGGGAUAGUAUUAGCUGCAAAUAUAGACUUGUACUCAGCACUUAUUGCCUUUGAGAAGUAUGGGAUCCUCUUUGUACCAACACCUACCGUGACACAGAAUCUUGGUUUAUACAGUCUCAUCGGAGUAACCUGUCUCAAGCAUUUAGCAAUGGGAUUGGAACCUGCGACAUAAGGUGUGACUGUGACUGUCAUCUGAGU